UGGGGAAUAUUGCACAAUGGGCGAAAGCCUGAUGCAGCGACGCCGCGUGAGGGAUGACGGCCUUCGGGUUGUAAACCUCUUUCAGCAGGGAAGAAGCGAAAGUGACGGUACCUGCAGAAGAAGCGCCGGCUAACUACGUGCCAGCAGCCGCGGUAAUACGUAGGGCGCAAGCGUUGUCCGGAAUUAUUGGGCGUAAAGAGCUCGUAGGCGGUUAGUCGCGUCUGCUGUGAAAACUCGAGGCUCAACCUCGGGCUUGCAGUGGGUACGGGCUGACUAGAGUGCGGUAGGGGUGACUGGAAUUCCUGGUGUAGCGGUGGAAUGCGCAGAUAUCAGGAGGAACACCGAUGGCGAAGGCAGGUCACUGGGCCGCAACUGACGCUGAGGAGCGAAAGCAUGGGGAGCGAACAGGAUUAGAUAGCCCUGGUAGUCCAUGCCGUAAACGUUGGGCACUAGGUGUGGGUCCAUUCCACGGAUUCCGUGCCGCAGCAAACGCAUUAAGUGCCCCGCCUGGGGAGUACGGCCGCAAGGCUAAAACUCAAAGGAAUUGACGGGGUCAUAGCUGUUUCCU
rnacentral:rRNA from 1 species